ACUAAUAUAGUUUAAAAAAAACAUUAAUUUUGUAAAUUAAAAAUAUUUUAUUAAAAAUUAUUAAUA
rnacentral:tRNA from 1 species